CAGUGGCGCGGCGCGCAGCGGCUCCCUGUUUUGUCGUCGCGCCACUCGGAAGGGCUCCGCCCAGGAGCUGAGGCAACAGCUGAGGAGGAGGGGAUGAAGUCCUUAUUGAUACAGCUGGGAUAAUAAAAGUCACCGGAACAAUGGGAAGCUAACUUAUAGAGAUAAAAAGGAGUAUAUCCUGGAGGUUCUUGAUCUGUUCAUAUAGUCUGUCGGAAAGAACAGAAGAAACAUCUGGUGGAAAAUAAAAGCGUGCAUUGGUCUGAAUGUGGGCCGGAAGAAACGGACUAACAUCAAAAAGUUUCAUAACACUUACAGCCAAAGGGGCCUUUGAUCAUCUAGUCACCUCCUGCUUAUCCAGAUACUUCCACAUUGCUUUGAGAGACUUCAAUUAAACCAAAGCAUUUUCAUCCUCAAAAGCCUAAGCUGUUGUAUAUGACCAGAAGAGAAGAGCGUAGAGCAAAAGACAGUAUUAAGGAAAUGAAUGUGUGAAAUGUGCCAAGAAGAAGGUACCAGGCAAUCCCCCUACGCAACUA